GGAAGUGGUGGCUCAGUGGUUAAAGAUGUCAGGCUACUGAUCAGAAGGUCAUGAGUUCAAAUCCCAACACUGCCA